GAGAUGCAACACGGGUGCCGGGUGGUGCCAUAGCCUGCGCCCUGUGGGCGCAGUCGGUCCACCUGUGCUGAGAUCAUACCGUUGAGCGGACCAGGAUAAUGCCUGCGUCGCUAGUUGCCUCUCACUUGUU
rnacentral:ncRNA from 15 species